rnacentral:lncRNA from 1 species
CUCUCUCUCUCUCUCUCUCUCUCUCUCUCUCUUUUUCUCUCUCUGUGCUCAUUGCAUAAAAAUGUCGACGAGGAUCCGGUGAUCCCCUUCACUUCUCGACCUUGGUAAGAACUCGCAUUCCUCCAUUUUCUCCUAGUUUUCGGUUUCUAGCUUGAUCUCGAGCUUACUCACAAGUUUUGGGUAACUUUUACACAGAAAUCAACUCGGGGGAAAUACUCCCCAGUUUCCAGCGAGGAACUCGAGAUUUUGUAGGAUUUCUUCGGCCAACUUCGGCCACGGUUGGGCCUUGAAUGGGUAUAAUCUGAAUCCUUAUUUCCCUUGCUUCAUUUUGAUUUUUAAAUGUUUGAAAAUGGUUGAGUUUUGGUCCCUUUAUAAGCCCUUGAAGUUUUCCGGCCAUCCUCUACAUUUCCGACGAUUAUAGCGGCAAUCGG